rnacentral:rRNA from 1 species
UACCAGCACCCCGAGUGGUCGGGACGAUUAUUGGGCCUAAAGCAUCCGUAGCCGGUUCCACAAGUCUUCCGUUAAAUCCACCUGCUUAACAGAUGGGCUGCGGAGGAUACUAUAGAGCUAGGAGGCGGGAGAGGCAAGCGGUACUUAGUGGGGUAGGGGGUAAAAAUCCGUUGAUCCAUUGAAGACCACCAGUGGCGAAGGCGGCUCACUGGCCCGGUACUGACGCUGACGACGCGAAA